rnacentral:rRNA from 1 species
CUGAGAGUUUGAUUCUGGCUCAGAACGAACGCUGGCGGAAGGCUUAACACAUGCAAGUCGAGCGGUAACAGAUCUAGCUUGCUAGAUGCUGACGAGCGGCGGACGGGUGAGUAAUGCAUAGGAAACUGCCCAGUAGUGGGGGAUAGCCCGGGGAAACUCGGAUUAAUACCGCAUACGCCCUACGGGGGAAAGGCCGGGAUCUUCGGACCGGUCGCUAUUGGAUGAGCCUGCGUAAGAUUAGCUAGUUGGUGGGGUAAAGGCCUACCAAGGCGACGAUCUUUAGCUGGUCUGAGAGGAUGAUCAGCCACAUCGGGACUGAGACACGGCCCGAACUCCUACGGGAGGCAGCAGUGGGGAAUUUUCUGCAAUGGGCGAAAGCCUGACAGAGCAAUACCGCGUGAGGGAUGACAGUCCUAUGGAUUGUAAACCUCUUUUUUCAGGGAGGAAGUUCUGACGUUACCUGAAGAAUAAGCAUCGGCUAACUCCGUGCCAGCAGCCGCGGUAAUACGGAGGGGGUUAGCGUUGUUCGGAAUUACUGGGCGUAAAGCGCGCG